AUUUAUAACCGGCGCAAACUUUGCUCACAGGCGGCUGCUUGGGGACUACGAGCGCGUGCUUAAAACUCAAAGAACUUGGCGGCUUGUUAACUACCUAGGGGAAUAUGUGCCUUAAUCCGAUGCUCCCCGUAGAAUCUUACUGUGCCUUGAAAGAGUCCAGCCGGUGUAUUGCCGUUGUCAGCUUGUUGUUAGAGCAAGGAGUAACGAGCUUAAUGGAGUCAAACGAUCAGAUCGUUGGUGUCCGCGAAUUCAGGUCGAAAUAUCGCCAAUGGCUCAAGGGAGUAGGUGUUACAAUUUUAAUUUAAAAUUACGGAUUCUUAUUUUGAAAUACUAAGAUGAAGGAGAACUUAGGAGUAAGGAGAAAUUAACAUGUUUUCCUGAACGUUGCUCUGGCUUGUGUACAAACUGCCCGUCGCCCUCGCCGUGAGGUGAGGUAAGU
rnacentral:rRNA from 1 species